CGCCUCCUGCAAAAAUCAAUGUAUAGGAGGUCUUGCCUGCCCAGUGACAAGUUAAACGGCCGCGGUAUUUUGACCGUGCGAAGGUAGCGCAAUCACUUGUCUUUUAAAUGAAGACCUGUAUGAAUGGUGGAACGAGGGCUUAACUGUCUCCCCUUUCAAGUCAAUGAAAUUGAUCUGCCCGUGCAGAAGCGGGCAUAAAAAUACAAGACGAGAAGACCCUUUGGAGCUUAAGAUACAAGAUCAACUAUGUCAAGAACUCUAAAAUUAAGUUAAACUAAAUAGUUAACUGAUCCCUAUCUUCGGUUGGGGCGACCGCGGGAGAAAACAAAGCUCCCACGCGGACUGGGAUUAUAAUCCUAAAACCAAGAAAGACAUCUCUAAGUCGCAGAACAUCUGACCAUAAAGAUCCGGCCUAACCCGCCGACCAACGGACCAAGUUACCCUAGGGAUAACAGCGCAAUCCCCUUUCAGAGUCCAUAUCGACAAGGGGGUUUACGACCUCGAUGUUGGAUCAGGACAUCCUAAUGGUGCAGCCGCUAUUAAGGGUUC
rnacentral:rRNA from 1 species